GACGAACGCUGGCGGCGUGCUUAACACAUGCAAGUCGAACGGAAAGGCCCUGCUUGCAGGGUGCUCGAGUGGCGAACGGGUGAGUAACACGUGGGUGAUCUGCCCUGCACUUCGGGUUACGCCUGGGAAACUGGGUCAAUUACCCGAUAGUCGCGAUGUUGAGUGUGAUGGUUCGUCAGUUUUUGCGGUGUUGGAUGAGCUCGCGGCGUAUCAGCUUGUUGGUGGGGUAAUGGCCUACCAAGGCGGCGACGGGUAGCCGGCCUGAGAGGGUGGACGGCCACAUUGGGACUGAGAGACGGCCCAGGCUCCGAAGGGAGGAAGAAGGGGGGAAGAUUGCACCAUGGGCGCAAGCCUGAUGCAGAGAGGCCGCGGGGGGGAUGACGGUCUUCGGGUUGAAAAAGCCUUUCGCUAGGGACGAAGCUUUUUGUGACGGUACCUAGAGAAGAAGCACCGGCUAACUACGUG
rnacentral:rRNA from 1 species